UAAUAGCCCUGAUAGCAGCGGCAUCCUUUUAUUUUUAACGGAGCUUGUCGAAGUAAAAAUAAAAGAUAUAGCGAAUAGCAGGAAAAAGC
rnacentral:sRNA from 1 species